CAUAAAAAAUAUAAGAGAGUAUAAUAGGCAAACGCCAGUUCCAAAUCAUAUUACACAAACAAAUUACACAUACAAACGUCAAGUUCCAACUACAUCCAUUACAAACACGUCAAUUUGGAACUACAUUUUACACAAACAAACGUCAAGUACGAACUACAUAUUACACAAUACAAGCAUUACAAAAAUAUUACAAAAAAUACAACAGUACAUAUUACACAAACAAAAUGUGAUGCCGCCUAGGUCCAAUUUCCAACAACCUAGCUUAAGAAAUCUACUUCCAACCGUCUAGUUCCACCUUUUUUUUUAGUGGUUACCUUUUUUGUUGAUUGAGCUGUGUCUUUUUUGCGCUUGCUAGGACCUGUGUCUACUCUCCUCUUGCUAGGACAUGUUUUUAAUUUUCUCUUGCUAGGACUGCUUUCUUGAUUAGUCUUCCCCACCAAUUCACUCAGCAAUAAAGUUGUCCUGAGUUGUGUAACCUCAGACUCCAUCUUCCCCAACAUGUUGAU
rnacentral:lncRNA from 1 species